rnacentral:lncRNA from 1 species
GGAUCUUAGCCUUGCAGAUUUUUUCAGUUGGUGAGGUAGCCCUGUUAUGUUAGGCGUAGAUUGAAGGCUUCAAGGAUGUUAUAUGCUUUCAAGUAAUUGUGAUGUUUUCCUGGUUUGAUUCCAGGCCUGACAUUCAGAUCCAAAACUAACAAAUUAUAUGUUUGAAAUAGACUGGGUACAAAUUUUGGUCAAGUCGAGCCAAUUUCGCCAACCUGCUCCACUAGUUCGAAAAUCCGGUCUAAAUUUAUGAUCCAAAUUUGAAGUACGCAUCCAGAUAUUUAGGUUUUAUUUUGGAUCGAUAUAGCUUCAAAUGUCAAGUAUUUUAAUCAUGAGUGAUUUAUUAUAAACUUGCAAUUCUUGGAUUACAAUGUAGAAAAUAUCAACAAAAUUAUCUCUAGGAGAAGCUCUAACUGCAUGUAGGUUCCUCUAAAGGCUUUGCAUACAGUGUAUGCACAAUCAACUCGGCAUAGUUCCAAUAUUUAUUCAAUCUCUUGUAUUAGUUGAGCAUGCUCAAGUUAGGCCAUGAACAAACAUAAAGGUUUAUAAUUCCAUAAUGAUCGUAAGCCUGCUCAAUACUUGAAGAUAAAAGUCAUGUAAUUGCACCAUUUUUCUGAAACGCAGAAGUAUGGCAGUGAGUGCUGUUAUUACCUGUAAUGAAGUGCUUAAGCUUUGGCAAAGAGGGGUUGUCACAUAAAGCUAA